CGAUCUCAAAUCAGGUAGGACUACCCGCUGAACUUAAGCAUAUCAAUAAGCGGAGGAAAAGAAACUAACAAGGAUUCCCCUAGUAACUGCGAGUGAAGCGGGAAAAGCUCAAAUUUAAAAUCUGGCGUGCCUCUGGUCGUCCGAGUUGUAGUUUAGAGAAGCGUUUUCUGUGUUGGACCGUGUAUAAGUCUCUUGGAACAGGGCGUCAUAGAGGGUGAGAAUCC
rnacentral:rRNA from 1 species